UUGACAGUAUUGGCAUGUGAUGAACAAUACAAAGUAUAGCUAUCAAAGAUUUAUUUAUAUUUCAGUUGUUCUCUGUUGUGUAAGCUUUUGCCUAGAAAGUUUGCUCUACCAAACAAACCGCCAUCUUCCUGUAGCUGGCACCUAACUAGAUUCUCUGGAAUUAAUGGCAAAUUUGGCAAUAAUCAGCGGCGUCGCGCCAUGCAUAAUAAUGAAAACCCAUACCAUAACACCAUACCCAUGCUGUCCCCCAGUUGGCCCCACCGGUCCCGCCAUAAUUCUAAUGUCGACCCAGACAUGCCGCAGUCACACGUUCAAAUUACCCCAAUUUCGUGCGGGCAGCAGCGGCAGCGGCAUCGGCAUCGGCAUCGGCAGCAAAUAUGUAAAAAAGUGUUCAUACAUGAAAUGUGAGGGACUGUGGGCUAUGGCAUGGGUAGGGGUAUGUGAAAGACUCAUGGGAAUGGCUCCUCCCCCUCCACCCCACAAUCAAGCUUUGAUUCAGCAUUGUGUCUGCCUGCCCCACUGAUGGACUGCCUGCCCGACUGCCUGUCGGACACUUGUCUUAGACCAUUUUUCAUUUCAUUUCCAUUUGCCAAUCUCCGAUGCCCAGCCGGAGCUCAGCAGUGGCCUGCUUUUGGCUGUUGCGCUUUUUAGCAUGAGAAGAAGAUUGGAGGAGACUCAUUUCAUUUGACAGGAAUAUUUUCGCUGAAUUAUCGUAAAUAUAUACAAUGCUGAUCCCCAAAGCUGGAAGUAUAAUUUGGUUGCAAAAUUGGAUGCA